rnacentral:rRNA from 1 species
AGGACGAACGCUGGCGGCGUGCCUAAAACAUGCAAGUCGAACGAGGUCCACCCAGUGGCAACACUGGUGAAGACCUAGUGGCGAACGGGUGAGUAACACGUGAGGAACCUGCCCCGAAGACCGGGAUAACCCUCCGAAAGGAGGGCUAAUACCGGAUACCCCCAUCAGAUCGCAUGAUCAGGUGAGGAAACGCAUUGUGCUUCGGGAGGGUCUCGCGGCCUAUCAGCUUGUUGGUGGGGUAACGGCCCACCAAGGCGUCGACGGGUAGCUGGUCUGAGAGGACGAUCAGCCACACUGGGACUGAGACACGGCCCAGACUCCUACGGGAGGCAGCAGUUAGGAAUCUUGCGCAAUGGGCGAAAAGCCUGACGCAGCAACGCCGCGUGGGGAUGAAGGCCUCGGUUGUAACCCUUUACCAGUCGGACGAAAUAGACGGUACCGACAGAAGAAGACCCGGCCACAACGUGCCACGACAGCGCGGU